rnacentral:rRNA from 1 species
GACGAAGGGGGCUAGCGUUGUUCGGAAUUACUGGGCGUAAAGCGCGUGUAGGCGGUUGUUCAAGUCAGGUGUGAAAGCCUUGAGCUCAACUCAAGAAAUGCACUUGAUACUGGAUGACUAGAGGACCGGAGAGGAUAGUGGAAUUCCCAGUGUAGUGGUGAAAUACGUAGAGAUUGGGAAGAACACCAGUGGCGAAGGCGGGCUAUCUGGACGGUUUCUGACGCUAAGACGCGAAAGCGUGGGGAGCAAACAGG